GACGAACGCUGGCGGCGUGCUUAACACAUGCAAGUCGAACGGAAAGGCCCUGCUUUUGUGGGGUGCUCGAGUGGCGAACGGGUGAGUAACACGUGAGUAACCUGCCCUUGACUUUGGGAUAACUUCAGGAAACUGGGGCUAAUACCGGAUAGGAACUCCUGCUGCAUGGUGGGGGUUGGAAAGUUUCGGCGGUUGGGGAUGGACUCGCGGCUUAUCAGCUUGUUGGUGGGGUAGUGGCUUACCAAGGCUUUGACGGGUAGCCGGCCUGAGAGGGUGACCGGCCACAUUGGGACUGAGAUACGGCCCAGACUCCUACGGGAGGCAGCAGUGGGGAAUAGUGCACAAUGGGCGGAAGCCUGAUGCAGCAACGCCGCGUGCGGGAUGACGGCCUUCGGGUUGUAAACCGCUUUCGCCUGUGACGAAGCGUGAGUGACGGUAAUGGGUAAAGAAGCACCGGCUAACUACGUG
rnacentral:rRNA from 1 species